rnacentral:rRNA from 1 species
GACAGAGGUCCCGAGCGUUAGGCGGAAUCACUGGGCUUAAAGCGUGUGUAGGCGGAUCGUUAAGUACCUUGUGAAAUCCCACGGCUUAACCGUGGAACUGCUUGGUAUACUGGCGGUCUUGAGCCAGCUAGGGGCUACCGGAACAAAUGGUGGAGCGGUGAAAUGCGUAGAUAUCAUUUGGAACGCCAAUGGUGAAAACAGGUAGCUGGGGCUGUGCUGACGCUGAGACACGAAAGCCAGGGGAGCAAGCGGG